GGUGAGUAAUGUCUGGGAAACUGCCCGAUGGAGGGGGAUAACUACUGGAAACGGUAGCUAAUACCGCAUAAUGUCGCAAGACCAAAGAGGGGGACCUUCGGGCCUCUUGCCAUCGGAUGUGCCCAGAUGGGAUUAGCUUGUUGGUGAGGUAAUGGCUCACCAAGGCGACGAUCCCUAGCUGGUCUGAGAGGAUGACCAGCCACACUGGAACUGAGACACGGUCCAGACUCCUACGGGAGGCAGCAGUGGGGAAUAUUGCACAAUGGGCGCAAGCCUGAUGCAGCCAUGCCGCGUGUGUGAAAAAGGCCUUCGGGUUGUAAAGCACUUUCAGCGGGGAGGAAGGCAAUACGGUUAAUAACCGUGUUGAUUGACGUUACCCGCAGAAAAAACACCGGCUAACUCCGUGCCAGCAGCCGCGGUAAUACGGAGGGUGCAAGCGUUUAUCUGAAUUACUGGGCGUAAAACGCACGC
rnacentral:rRNA from 1 species